rnacentral:rRNA from 1 species
AUUGAACGCUGGCGGCAUGCUUUACACAUGCAAGUCGAACGGUAACAGGCCGCAAGGUGCUGACGAGUGGCGAACGGGUGAGUAAUGCAUCGGAACGUGCCCAGUCGUGGGGGAUAACGCAGCGAAAGCUGCGCUAAUACCGCAUACGAUCUAUGGAUGAAAGCGGGGGACCGUAAGGCCUCGCGCGAUUGGAGCGGCCGAUGUCAGAUUAGGUAGUUGGUGGGGUAAAGGCCCACCAAGCCAACGAUCUGUAGCUGGUCUGAGAGGACGACCAGCCACACUGGGACUGAGACACGGCCCAGACUCCUACGGGAGGCAGCAGUGGGGAAUUUUGGACAAUGGGCGCAAGCCUGAUCCAGCAAUGCCGCGUGCAGGAAGAAGGCCUUCGGGUUGUAAACUGCUUUUGUACGGAACGAAACGGUUCUCUCUAAUACAGGGGGCUAAUGACGGUACCGUAAGAAUAAGCACCGGCUAACUACGUGCCAGCCGCCGCGGUAACAC